GGGGAGCAAACAGGAUUAGAUACCCUGGUUAGUCCACGCCGUAAACGAUGUCUACUAGCCGUUGGGGAACUUGAGUCCUUGGUGGCGCAGUUAACGCGAUAAGUAGACCGCCUGGGGAGUACGGCCGCAAGGUUAAAACUCAAAUGAAUUGACGGGGGCCCGCACAAGCGGUGGAGCAUGUGGUUUAAUUCGAUGCAACGCGAAGAACCUUACCAGGCCUUGACAUCCUUGGAAUUCUGCAGAGAUGCGGGAGUGCCUUCGGGAAUCAAGUGACAGCUGCUGCAUGGCUGUCGUCAGCUCGUGUCGUGAGAUGUUGGGUUAAGUCCCGUAACGAGCGCAACCCUUGUCCUUAGUUGCCAGCGAUUCGGUCGGGAACUCUAAGGAGACUGACGGUGACAAACCGUAGGAAGGUGGGGACGACGUCAAGUCAUCAUGGCCCUUACGGCCUGGGCUACACACGUGCUACAAUGGANCGCACAGAGGGCAGCGAACCCGCGAGGGUGAGCGAAUCCCACAAAACGUUUCGUAGUCCGGAUCGGAGUCUGCAACUCGACUCCGUGAAGUCGGAAUCGCUAGUAAUCGUGAUCAGAAUGUCACGGUGAUACGUUCCCGGCCCUUGACACACCGCCCGUCACACCAUGG
rnacentral:rRNA from 1 species